rnacentral:tRNA from 1 species
AAAACUUUAAGUUAAAUUAAACUAAUAAUCUUCAAAAUUAUAAUUAAAUAAAAUUAUUUAAGUUUUA